CUCUUUAUAUUUUACACUUAAUUAUUUUUUCCCCAAUUCCAAAAGCAUGUGUGCCUCCAAAAUUUUCGACUUUUCUUCUCCUCUCCCAAAUUUCCCACUCCCUUCCUCCUCUCAAAAUUUCGCAAUCGUUCUUCCCUUUCGAAGCUUCUUAAAAUCAUCGCAUUCCCUUUCUUCCUUUGUUCUUCCAUUUCGCUCACGAUAAUUCUUUAGUUUCGAAUUAGGGUUCUCUAACAGUUCUUUGUUGACUCCUCCUACGCAACUCUGGAACAACAUUCUGACGACAUCGAGUUCUACGCCGACUCCUCCUAUGAACUCCAAUGAAAGCUCGUCCAAGCCGCUAUCGUCGUUGACUCCUCCAGCGACGUUCAGUCCUCUUACUCUCCUGUUCUUGUAUAACUAACACGAAAGAGAGAAGCAAAUAGAGAAGGUUCUGAAACAACAGCACAGGAAAAGGCAGAAGAGAGAGAGUUAGGGUUUUAUCGAUUAACUCAAAAAAUGGAGAAGAGAAGGGAAAAUCAGGCACCAGCGGAAGAGGGAUAAACACUAUAAGGUUUGGGUUAGGAAAGGUUCAAGGAGCUUCUGAUACUGGUGGACACUUGCCAAGCCUCUACUCUGUUCUUCCAGGUCAUCUAUGCUAUGUUGAAAAUUACUACAACUUACAAGUGUGGAGUGCGUUGAAGCCCAACAGAGUCAAAAAAAACCCAAUACAUGAGAUGGAUUUAUUAUCUAGUCAGAAAAAUGAUGUUAAUUAUGCAUGUGGUGGUUGUUCUGUGGCUUCAAAAAUUUAACAUCUGACCCUUGGAAAGAAGAAAAUACACUGAAGUUUCAAAAUUUCUGGUAUAUCCUAAUGAUUGUUAUAAUUUUUUCUACCUUGGUUAGUUUUAUUUAAUGUAACAAGUCUCUUUCUCUCAUUAUUAAAUAUAUGUUGUAUACCUAUGUCAUAAUACUUCAAGUAUUGUCAUGAUAACAUAGUUACCUGCUCUCGUGAUGGAAGUUCAAUUAUAUGGGUUCCCAGAUCACGUAAAUCUCAUAUGAACAUAUCGAUAAUGGAGAACUUGGGCAAAAUGGUAUGAUGUAGAGCUUUUGUCUGUCAUGACAAAUGGUGUUUAUAUUUGGAAUAUGAAACAUGUAUUAUAUUUUUUUGGUGUUUGACUUGCUCAAUAAUUUUUUUCACUCUCUCUGGUGUUGUAUUUUGAAUGGAAACAAAACUGGUGCGUGAACAUGAUAGCACAUUUGUUCCAUGCUGAAAUUGGAGAAGAUGGAAAUGUUGUUGGAGCAAGAACUGUUGGCUCAUCAGAAGCUAUGAUGCUGGCAGGACUUGCAUUCAAGAAUUGGCAGAACAAGCAUAAGGCAAAGAGACUUGAGGCAUCAAACCUAUCUUUGGUGCUACAUCUUGGAUUGAUGAAACCAUGGCCUUGAUUGUCCUUUAUCUUGGAGCUACAAGAGCAAGUGUGAAGCUACAAGAGCAAGUGUGAAAUUUCAAUUAGCUAUCAAACGUUCCCUUGUAAACCCUCUGUUACACUCUGGCAAAGUGCAAAAAUUUUCCACAAGCUAAACCUCUAGUUUUAUAGUGAUUUUGUUUAGGUCAUCAUUAGCCUAUGUAUUUUAUUUUAUAUAUUUACAUCGUCAAUAAAUAUAAAUAUACUUUGUUUUAAAUCAUCAAUAAAAUUAAUUUUGAUUAUUUUUUUUA